rnacentral:lncRNA from 1 species
CUCCAGCUCCACUUCCGAAGGCACACCCUCCGUCUUCCUCCUCCUACCCCUGACAUGACUGUGAUCACCUCUGUCAUCUCUGGAUGCCUCACUGGCUGGCAUGCAGGUGAUUAACCUCCCUGACCGCUAGAGGGCGAGCUUAAUGUCAAGCGCUGGUGCGAGCCUGCUGACUACACAAAGCUGGAUGCUUCUUGCUGAGACAACCAGGACACUCUUAGUAACUACGGGAGACAGCGGGUGUAACCAGGGGUGUUGGGGUCGGUUCCGUGCGGCCAGCUCCCUCCUGCAGAGCGGACAGGGCAGGGCAGCACAGCCUGCACGCGGGAAUCCUUUCACCCCAGCGCUGAUUACAGCGCACCCCUCCGGGGUCGGGACGAGGCCCGGCAAACAGCUGCGAGCGGCGCCUUCGGGAGCAGAGUUCCAGAAGCUUCAGCGAGUCACAUCUGCACAGAUGAGUGGCAUGAUAAUCCAGACCAUUUUCAAACUCCCUCCGUAGGCAAGGAACUCAAACAAGCAAGACAGCGCGAAGACAAAGCUGAAUUUUUGUGUAUGGUGAAUGCUUCUGCCCAGACGGUGCUUCGUUAAAAAGUGGUGUGUACACCUGUGAUCACAGCAUUCAGUAAGCUAAGACAGAAAAAUUGGAGAGAAUCUGAGACCAGCCUGGACUACACGGUGAGAAUGGUCUUGAAGAGGAGGGGUAAAAGGAGAAAAGAAAGGCACAGG